rnacentral:lncRNA from 1 species
ACUUUUUGAUAAUGAAGAAAAAACGUCACUCUUACCCUCCUCAAUGGCAUCCUCAUUACCACAACCACCUCCUCUCCCCUCUCUCCACUUCACCUUCUCUCCACUCUCUUGAAAUCCUAACAUUUUCACUUCUUCACUCUCCCUCUCACUCUCUUGAAACUCUAACAUUUUCACUUCUUCACUCUCCCUCUCACUCUCUUGAAACCCUACCAUUUUCACUUCUUCACUCUCCCUCUUACUACUCAACACAUACCACCUCUCCCACUCACUCAACACCACCACCACCUCCCCCACUAACUCAACACCAUCACCAAGUCCCCCACUCACUCAACACCACCACCACCUCCCCCGCUCACUCAACACCACCACCACAUCCGCCCACUCAACACCACCACCACCUUCACCCACUCAACACCACCACCACCUCCGCCCACCACCUCUAUCGUUUCUCUUUCUUCUUUUUUUUUUUUCAUUUCUUCUUCUUCUUCUUCUUCUUCAAAUCCGAAAAACUCUCACUCAACACCACCACCUCCCCCACUCACUCAACACCACCACCUCCCCCACUCACUCAACACCACCACCACCUCCCCCACUCACUCAACACCACCACCACAUCCGCCCACUCAACACCACCACCACCUCCACCCACUCAAAACCACCACCACCUCCGCCCACCACCUCUGUCGUUUCUCUUUCUUUUUUUUUCAUUUCUUCUUCUUCUUCUUCUUCAAAUCCGAAAAACUCUCGCUCAUAGCUAGAAAAAAUUUCAAACACUAAUAUUCAAAACAAAUCUCAAAUACUCAAAACCCUCUUAAUCUUAAUUUCUAUUUUUAGAUAUGUUUGUUUAAUCUGUACUUUUUUAUUUGCAAAUAGAUAUUAGUUUAUUUCUUUUAGUUUUUGUUGAUGCAUGUCUUUAUUUUUGAAGAUUUAUGUUUUUUGUUUGAAGAUUUAAGUUUCGGAUUUGAGAUAUUUUCUGGUUUUUUCAUUUUAUUUUCAAAUAUUUAUGUUGUGUUUGUUAAAGUAUGAAUAAACAAGAAAAACAAGUUUUUUUUUGGGUUAAUAUUUUCCUAUUUCUUUUCUUAUAUGUAUAGAUGAACUGUGUCUCUGUCAUAUCUCAAACACUAUCUCCCUCAUAUUUCAGACACUAUGGUUUGGUUUUGUUAAUUUCCAAGAUUAACAUGUUAGUUUAGUCGUAUUGUCUGUAUUUUUUUUAUUUGCAAAUAGAGUUCUGUUUGAUGAGUUUAUUUCUUGUAAUUGUUACUGUAUGUCAUUAUUUAUUAUUAUUGGAAAUACUAAUGAAAUUAAUUAAUAUAUAUUUUUAUUUGUGAAUAGAGAUUUAUUUGAUGAGUUUAUUUCUUGGAGUUUAUUUGAUGAGUUUAUUUUCAAUAGUAAAAAUAUUAUUUUUAUUAUUUAAGAUAAUAAUAAAAUUAAUUAAUAUAUCUUUUGUAGUUUUGUUACUGUAUGUCAUUAAAUUAAUAAAUUAUUAUUUAUGUCAUUAUUGUACUAUAGAUUAAUUAAUAUUUGUUAUUGUGUGUCAUUAUUGUACGGCAUAUAUUAAUUAAUAUUUGUUACUGUAUGAUAUUAUUGUUAUGUCAUUAUCGUAUUUACUUUCCACUAAUUUUUGUUUUUUCACUCAAUAUUUUCCCUCCACUUAUUUUUACUUUUCACUCAUAAUUAUUUUCACUUUCAGUCAUAAAAAUAUUCCCACUCUUUUUACUUUUUUUUUCACUCACAAAAAAAUACUCUCAUUCCAUUUACUUUUACUUUCCACUCACACUCUACUUACUUUAAUUUUCCAAUCACAAUAAUAUUCCCACCACUUACUCACACUCCACUUACUUUUAUUUUCCACUCACACUCCACUUACUUUUAUUUUCCACUCACACUCCAUUUACUUUUAUUUUCCACUCACAAUAAUAUUCUCACCACUUACUCCCAUUCCACUUUUACUUUCCACUCACACUCCACUUACUUUUAUUUUCCACUCACAAUAAUAUUCUCACCAUUUACUUACUCCCAUUCCACUUACUUUUACUUUUCACUCACACUCCACUUACUUUUAUUUUCCACUCACAAUAAUAUUCCCACCACUUACUUACUCCCAUUCCACUUACUUUUACUUUCCACUCACACUCCACUUACUUUUAUUUUCCACUCACAAUAAUAUUCCCUUACUUUUAUUUUCCACUCACAAUAAUAUUCUCACCACUUACUUUUACUUUCCACUCACACUCCACUAAAAUAUUCCCACUCUUUUUACUUUUUUUUUCACUCACAAAAAAAUACUCCCAUUCCACUUAUUUUUACUUCCCACUCACACUCCACUUACUUUAAUUUUCCACUCACAAUAAUAUUCCCACCAUUUACUCUCAUUCCACUUACUUUUACUUUCCACUUACACUCCACUUACUUUUAUUUUCCACUCACACUCCACUUACUUUUAUUUUCCACUCACAAUAAUAUUCCCACCACUUACUCCCAUUCCACUUUACUUUCCACUCACAC